UUGAGCAACGCGAACAAAUCA
ensembl:miRNA mir-356.1 miscRNA